CCUACGGGGGGCUGCAGUCGAGAAUUUUCCGCAAUGGGCGAAAGCCUGACGGAGCGACGCCGCGUGGAGGAUGAAGUUCUUCGGAACGUAAACUCCUUUUGCCAGGGACGAAGUUAUUGACGGUACCUGGAGAAUAAGAGGUUGCUAAACUCGUGCCAGCAGCAGCGGUAAUACGAGUGCCUCAAGCGUUAUCCGGAAUCAUUGGGCGUAAAGGGUGUGUAGGCGGCAGUAUUAGUCUUACGUUAAAUGUAUCGGCUCAACCGAUAAGCUGCGUGGGAAACGGUAUUGCUUAGAGGACGGAAGAGGUCUCUGGAACUCAUAGUGUAGCGGUGAAAUGCGUUGAUAUUAUGGGGAACACCAAAAGCGAAGGCAAGAGACUGGUCCGCUCCUGACGCUGAAACACGAAAGCGUGGGUCGCGAAUGGGAUUAGAUACCCCUGUAGUC
rnacentral:rRNA from 1 species